rnacentral:rRNA from 1 species
AUGGAUGAUAAGGUUUUCGAGGCCCUGCUGCACUACAUGUACAAGGACUCCCUGCCGGCAUUCAUGGAGGAGACCACGGAAGAGGCGACAAACAUGGCACGGCAUUUGCUCGUCGCAGCUGAUCGAUAUGCGGUAGAAAGACUGAAACUGAUGUGCGAGAGCAAGCUGAGCAAGGAGCUGGAUGUCAAGACGGUGGGCUUCACUUUGGAUCUGGCUGAGUGGUACAAUUGUCAACGGCUCAAGGAUUGCUGUCUCAAGUAUAUGGCAAGAGACUUUGAGAGGCUGCGAGACAUAAAAAGAACCGAGGGAUUUGAGCAAUUGAAGAAGAACCACCCACUUGUCGUGUGUGAUAUUCUCGAUGAAGUCAUUGACAAACUGAAUCAACAGGCUGUAAUUACUUUGCCUCCGUGA